AUGGAGUACCUGCAAUCUUAUCACUGUUUACUCUGCUACUUUCUGCUGGCUCUUAGAGAUCCUGCACUCUGUGCUAAAGAGAUCACUGUUAGCCCAGACAAACCCAUUGUCAAGCUGGGAGAUGCUGUGACCUUGAUCUGUGAGACAACCUGUCCCCAAGUCAAACCACGCUGGAUGGAACUAGACGAGAGCGAUGUCAUUCAGAAUACCACAAACAACAGAAGUUAUCUACAUAUUGCAGCUGUACAGCUGAAUCACGAGGGAAAGUAUACCUGCACAGCAGCAAAAUGUAGCAAACAGAAGAAGGAAACAAUCCAGCUCAGAGUUUACUCUUUCCCGGUGCCUGUCCUGUCCACGGUGCCAGAGAACCCUGUCUCUGGUCAACCUUUUGAGGUGAAAUGUACACUGACAAAAGUUUACCACAGAGAUGAUGACAACGUUGAGAUGCGUCUCUUCCACCUUGACAAGCUUGAAACAGAACACUCCAAAAACUGUACUGAUGACAGAUUUUGUGAUCACACGUGGUCUUCUAAGAAUCAGACGGGCACUAGCAAAACAGAUUAUCAGUGUGAAACCAAUCUUACUAUUGCCCCUAACAGCUUUACUGAAAAGGCUCGUCUUACCAUACAUUUCCAGGUUAAACCCAUGGAAGCACCAACGUCAGAACAUAUAAAUGAGGAAGGCGAAGGUCAAGGUGAUGCUGGUGAUGUCUAUAAUAAUCCCAGAAGCACUGCCACGUCUCCUGAACAGAUAGGAUCACAAACGUCAGAACCUGUCAACACGGAAGGCGAAGGUCAAGGUGAGAUGGAUAAAUCUGAGCAGGCAGUUCUACAGUAUAUUUAAUGGAUGAGAUUGAGGUCUGAAUGCCAUUUAAAAUGAUAGUAAAACAGUCUACUUAUCACUAAAGUAAAUAUUAGGCUACAUAUUCAUAUCGCAUGCAUGACUUUUCAAACUCAAUGAAAGACCAGUGAUCUACAUGGUGUUGAGUAAAGCCAAUUUGACAAGGGGAGUUCUAGAAAGAUGCCUGAGUUUCCGAAUUGGAUGACCAUUCAAAACUAUUUUUCCCAGUCGGAGCUCGUUUUUUUUUCUUCUGAGUUUCCAGUUGUUUUGAAGGCACUUAAGUCUGAGAGUUCUGAGUUCCGAGUUCCCAGUUGUUUUGAACGUGGCAACUUUAAUGAUGGGUUGACUGUUGCUGCAUUCAAAGCAACUGUGAACUGUGAACACAGAUAUCUCCAACUUCCAACUUCAGUGGGUUCAAGACAACUGGUAACUCUGAAAAAUAUGAGCUUGGAAUUCCAAGUCGGAAAUUCUGGCAUCUUUCUAGAGCUCUGACAUUCCGACCUGAAGAUCACUGACGUCAUGAUUUUAACCUCGUUUUUUUGUUAAUUUCUUUUUUCUUUUUUUUAAUCUACAUGGUGUUGAGUAAAGCCAAUUUGACAAGGGGUUGGUUGAGUUUCCACCUCUUCAUCAGUGUGAUGAU
rnacentral:lncRNA from 8 species